UGUUUGGUGGCUGAGAAAUAAGCGAUAGGCUGUAAAUCUAUUAACGAAGUCAAGUUCUUCCCGACAA
rnacentral:tRNA from 1 species